ncrna:unclassified sequences skipping-rope RNA
UAUUAUAGAAGAUAGAAAUAGUAGCUAUCGCCAUAAUUUAGGAAAUGUAGGGGUACUGUCCUACCUAUAAUA